rnacentral:rRNA from 1 species
UACGUAGGGGGCUAGCGUUGUCCGGAAUCAUUGGGCGUAAAGAGCGUGUAGGCGGCCCGGUAAGUCCGCUGUGAAAGUCGGGGGCUCAACCCUCGGAUGCCGGUGGAUACUGUCGGGCUCGAGUACGGAAGAGGCGAGUGGAAUUCCUGGUGUAGCGGUGAAAUGCGCAGAUAUCAGGAGGAACACCUAUUGCGAAGGCAGCUCGCUGGGACGUUACUGAGCUGAGACGCGAAAGCAUGGGGAGCGAACAGG